rnacentral:rRNA from 1 species
CCUACGGGUGGCAGCAGUUUCGAAUCAUUCACAAUGGGCGAAAGCCUGAUGGUGCGACGCCGCGUGAGGGAUGAAGGUCUUCGGAUUGUAAACCUCUGUCACCGGGGAAGAAACGCUUUGAGUUAAUAGUUCAAAGCCUGACUUAACCCGGAGAGGAAGCAGUGGCUAACUCUGUGCCAGCAGCCGCGGUAAUACAGAGACUGCAAGCGUUAUUCGGAUUCACUGGGCGUAAAGGGUGCGCAGGCGGUUGAGUGUGUCAGAUGUGAAAUCCCGAGGCUUA